GGGCGGACCGGGGCGGGGCCUGGUGGGUGCGCGGCGCUGCUGGGUGCUCCGAGGCCACCCGGCCGCCGGCCGCUCCUCAGUGCGCUGUUCCGCACUUGCUGCCCUCGCCCGGCCCCAGGCGCCGCUGCCAUGCGGCUGGCGCUGCUCUGGGCCCUGGGGCUCCUGGGCGCGGGCAGCCCUCUGCCUUCCUGGCCGCUCCCAAAUAUAGGUGGCACCGAGGAGCAGCAGGCAAUGUCAGAGAAGGCCCCGAGGGGGCCCUUGGAGCCCCAGGUCCUUCAGGACGAUCUCCCGAUUAGCCUCAAAAAGGUGCUUCAGACCAGUCUGCCUGAGCCCCUGAGGAUCAAGUUGGAGCUGGACGGUGACAGUCAUAUCCUGGAGCUGCUACAGAAUAGGGAGUUGGUCCCAGGCCGCCCAACCCUGGUGUGGUACCAGCCCGAUGGCACUCGGGUGGUCAGUGAGGGACACACUCUGGAGAACUGCUGCUACCAGGGAAGAGUGCAGGGAUAUGCAGGCUCCUGGGUGUCCGUCUGCACCUGCUCUGGGCUCAGAGGCUUGGUGGUCCUGUCCCCAGAGAGAAGCUAUACGCUGGAGCAGGGGCCUGGGGACGUUCAGGGUCCUCCCAUUAUUUCCCGAAUCCAAGAUCUCCACCUGCCAGGCCACACCUGUGUCCUGAGCUGGCGGGAACCUGUACACACUCAGACUCCACCAGAGCACCCCCUGGGACAGCGCCACAUUCGCCGGUGGAGGCGGGAUGUGGUAACAGAGACCAAGACUGUGGAGCUGGUGAUUGUGGCUGAUCACUCGGAGGUCCAGAAAUACCGGGACUUCCAGCACCUGCUGAACCGCACACUGGAAGUGGCCCUCUUGCUGGACACAUUCUUCCGGCCUCUGAAUGUACGAGUGGCACUAGUGGGCCUGGAGGCCUGGACCCAGCGUGACCUGGUGGAGAUCAGCCCAAACCCGGCUGUCACCCUCGAAAACUUCCUCCAUUGGCGCAGGGCACAUUUGCUGCCUCGAUUGCCUCACGACAGUGCCCAGCUGGUGACUGGUACUUCAUUCUCUGGGCCUAUGGUGGGCAUGGCCAUUCAGAACUCCAUCUGUUCUCCUGACUUCUCAGGAGGUGUGAACAUGGACCACUCCACCAGCAUCCUGGGAGUCGCCUCCUCCAUAGCCCAUGAGUUGGGCCACAGCCUGGGCCUGGACCAUGAUUUGCCCGGGAAUAGCUGCCCCUGUCCAGGUCCAGCCCCAGCCAAGACCUGCAUCAUGGAGGCCUCCACAGACUUCCUGCCAGGCCUGAACUUCAGCAACUGCAGCCGACAAGCCCUGGAGAAAGCCCUCCUGGAUGGAAUGGGCAGCUGCCUCUUUGAACGGCUGCCUAGCCUGCCUCCUAUGGCUGCUUUUUGUGGAAAUAUGUUUGUGGAGCCGGGCGAGCAGUGUGACUGCGGCUUCCCAGAUGACUGCGGCGAUCCCUGCUGUGAUUCCUCAACCUGCCAGCUGAGGCCAGGGGCACAGUGUGCAUCCGACGGACCCUGUUGUCAAAAUUGCCAGCUACGCCCGUCUGGCUGGCAGUGUCGUCCUACCAGAGGGGAUUGUGACUUGCCUGAAUUCUGCCCAGGAGACAGCUCCCAGUGUCCCCCUGAUAUCAGCCUAGGGGAUGGCGAGCCCUGCGCUGGUGGGCAAGCUGUGUGCAUGCAUGGGCGUUGUGCCUCCUAUGCCCAGCAGUGCCAGUCACUUUGGGGACCUGGAGCCCAGCCCGCUGCACCACUUUGCCUCCAGACAGCCAAUACUCGGGGAAAUGCCUUUGGGAGCUGUGGGCGCAACCCCAGUGGCGGCUAUGUGUCCUGUACCCCUAGAGAUGCCAUUUGCGGGCAACUCCAGUGCCAGACAGGUAGGACGCAGCCUCUGCUGGGCUCCAUCCAGGAUCUACUCUGGGAGACAAUAGAUGUGAAUGGGACUGAGCUGAACUGCAGCUGGGUGCACCUGGACCUGGGCAGUGAUGUGGCCCAGCCCCUCCUGACUCUGCCUGGCACAGCCUGUGGCCCUGGCCUGGUGUGCAUAGACCAUCGAUGCCAGCGUGUGGAUCUCCUGGGGGCACAGGAAUGUCGAAGCAAAUGCCAUGGACAUGGGGUCUGUGACAGCAACAGGCACUGCUACUGUGAGGAGGGCUGGGCACCCCCUGACUGCACCACUCAGCUCAAAGCGACCAGCUCCCUGACCACAGGGCUGCUCCUCAGCCUCCUGGUGUUAUUGGUCCUGGUGAUGCUUGGUGCCAGCUACUGGUACCGUGCCCGCCUGCACCAGCGACUCUGCCAGCUCAAGGGACCCACCUGCCAGUACAGGGCAGCCCAGUCUGGUCCCCCUGAACGGCCAGGACCUCCGCAGAGGGCCCUGCUGGCACGAGGCACUAAGCAGGCUAGUGCUCUCGGCUUCCCGGCCCCCCCUUCCAGGCCGCUGCCGCCUGACCCUGUGCCCAAGAGACUCCAGUGGUGCUCUUCAUUAGGUGAUCGGGGUGCCCCUCAGCCUUCAGACACUCUGAGCCCCAGAAGCAGCAAAGGGCUGAGCUGGCUGACCGACCCAAUCCCCCUACCCGCCCUCUGCCCGCUGACCCGAUGGUGAGAAGCCCGAAGGUAACGGUGGGGGGAGAGAAGGGCACGGCCUCUCCCCCCAUCUAGGGCUGUGGUGCUGGUAGCCAUGACGGUGGUGGCCGUGGCGAGAUGCCCCCUCAGUGCAUGAGGGCACAUAUCCAGGUGGUGCCAUUAAUGGUGACAGUCUCAGGGGCCAGCCAAGCCCCCACCCCCAAGGAAGCCACUGCCUGCCGACCCCCAGGGCCGGUGCCCAUCCGGUGACCUGCCAGGCCCAGGAGCUGGAAUCCCGCCCCUAGCGCUACCCUCCAGACCAGCGCCACCGCCUCCGACAGUGUCCUCGCUCUACCUCUGACCUCUCUGGAGGUUCCGCUGCCUCCAAACCGGACUUAGGACUUCAAGAGGGGGGCGUGCCCUCUGGAGUCCCCUACCAUGACUGAAGGCGCCAGAGGCUGGACGCGGUGUCUUAAGGCUCCGGGCACCGCCACGCGCUGUCAAGCAGCACUCUAGGGACCGGCGGCGUCGUUGCAGCUGGGGUUUCGGGAGGGGCUGGGGGUUGGAAGGGGUUGAGGGAGGUCCGCACAGCCUGUCUCUGCUCAGCUGCAAUAAAUGUGACAUCUUGGGAGCGUUA